GUGAAUUCAGGAGUUUGGAAGCAAAAUUGGACCACGCUGGAAAACACAACAGUGUUCUACAUAGGUCACGUGUUUGAGAAGAAGACGGCGAGACAAACAAACACAACCCCGUCAUAGUGAAUGGAACAGAAAUUCGAGACGCGCAUUCUACAGGACGUGACCGGACUUAGGGGUCUGAAUUAUGGAGCCUGAGAUAUCUCUUUAAAAGGCCAUUUGCUGUUCCCUCCAUUCCCCCCCUUCUCUCUGUACAUGCCAUCCUACGCCCUGGAUCUAGACUGAGAUGCAAAUGAGGGAAAAAUCACUGGUGGGGACCUCCAUGCAGCCUGUGUA